rnacentral:rRNA from 1 species
AUUGAACGCUGGCGGCAGGCCUAACACAUGCAAGUCGAGCGAAUGAAGGGAGCUUGCUCCUGGAUUCAUCGGUGGACGGGUGAGUAAUGCCUAUAAAUCUGCCUGGUAGUGGGGGAUAACGUCCGGAAACGGGCUCUUAUACCGCAUCCGUCCUGAGUGCGAAAUUGGGUGAUCUUCGGAUCUCACGCUAUCAUAUUAGCCUAGGUCGGUUUAGCUAGUUGGUGGGGUAAAGGGCUUACAAGGCGACGAUCCGUAACUGGUCUUAGGGGAUGAUCAGUCACACUGGAAAUGAGAAACGGCACAGACACCUGAGGGAGGCAGCAGUGGGGAAUAUUGGGCAAGGGGCGAAUGCCGGAUCCAGCCAUGCCGCGUGAGUGAUGAAGGACUUAGGAUUGUAAAGCAAUUUAGGUCGGGAGGAAGGGCAGUAAGUUAACACCGGGCGGUAUUGACGUUACCAACAGAAUAAGCUCCGGCUAACUUCGUG